rnacentral:rRNA from 1 species
AUUGAACGCUGGCGGCAUGCUUUACACACGCAAGUCGGACGGCAGCACAGAGACGCUUGCUUCUUGGGUGGCGAGUGGCGAACGGGUGAGUAACAUAUCGGAACGUACCGAGCAGUGGGGGAUAACUAAUCGAAAGAUUAGCUAAUACCGCAUAUUUUCUGAGGAAGAAAGCAGGGGACCUUUGGGCCUUGCGCUGUUUGAGCGGCCGAUAUCUGAUUAGCUAGUUGGUGGGGUAAAGGCCUACCAAGGCGACGAUCAGUAGCGGGUCUGAGAGGAUGAUCCGCCACACUGGGACUGAGACACGGCCCAGACUCCUACGGGAGGCAGCAGUGGGGAAUUUUGGACAAUGGGCGCAAGCCUGAUCCAGCCAUGCCGCGUGUCUGAAGAAGGCCUUCGGGUUGUAAAGGACUUUUGUCAGGGAAGAAAAGGGCGGGGUUAAUACCCCUGUCUGAUGACGGUACCUGAAGAAUAAGCACCGGCUAACUACGUG